AUAUUUAAGGGGACAAACACGGACUUAUUUAAGUGAUGCACCAAACUCAUGCAGGGAAGACGCCACACAAACACGGCGCUGAGAAAGAAUUGGGUGAGUAGGAUAGGAUAGUGGGGGGUUUCGGGUGAUAGUGUGCAGGUGUUUUAAGUGUGUGUGUGUUUGUAGACGUCGAGCGCUCCCGGGAACCCCGGUAACCAGAGCGGCCGGAGCAUGAAAGUAUGGGUUUAAAGAUUGCCUCGGUUUUGAUUUAAUUUGUCCUAUAAUUUUUUGGAUUGAUUUGAUUAUGUAGAGUGGAUUUAUUUUGAGUUUUCUUUGGUUUUCUUCCUUUAAAGAAGUUAUGUUGUUUGCUUUUCCUGAAGUGGAUGGAUUUUAAAACCUGAUCUUAGAGUUUUUUGAUAAUAAAAGAAGUAUCUAUAAAAAUGUUCUAGUACGUUGUGGUCUGUCUAAGCACCCACGUAACAUG